CUGCCAGUAGUCAUAUGCUUGUCUCAAAGAUUAAGCCAUGCAUGUCUCAGUACAAGCCAAAUUAAGGUGAAACCGCGAAAGGCUCAUUAAAUCAGUUAUGGUUCCUUAGAUCGUACCCACAAUUACUUGGAUAACUGUGGUAAUUCUAGAGCUAAUACAUGCAAACAGAGCUCCGACCGGAGACGGAAGGAGUGCUUUUAUUAGAUCAAAACCAAUCGGUGGCGAGUUCGCUCGUCAUCGUACAACUUGGUGACUCUGAAUAACUUUACGCUGAUCGCACGGUCUCGCACCGGCGACGCAUCUUUCAAAUGUCUGCCUUAUCAACUGUCGAUGGUAGGUUCUGCGCCUACCAUGGUUGUAACGGGUAACGGGGAAUCAGGGUUCGAUUCCGGAGAGGGAGCCUGAGAAACGGCUACCACAUCCAAGGAAGGCAGCAGGCGCGCAAAUUACCCACUCCCGGCACGGGGAGGUAGUGACGAAAAAUAACGAUACGGGACUCAUCCGAGGCCCCGUAAUCGGAAUGAGUACACUGUAAACCCUUUAACGAGGAUCAAUUGGAGGGCAAGUCUGGUGCCAGCACCCGCGGUAAUUCC
rnacentral:rRNA from 1 species